CUGUUCUGUGAGGGCCCAUGGGGCAAGGACAGGAGAAGGGUGUAAGGGCGCCAUGGUCGCCAGCCACGCCCUGCACAGUGCUCCUGGUGUCACCCACCCUUCACAAGCUGCCAGGUUCCAGGCAGUAUGGCAGAGAGGCAGUCGCCCCCAAAGUCAGCAGCAGAAGCAUCUGGUGAUGUGUCCACCUGCGUCUCCCACCCAGCCCCAGCCCUGGCUCCUCCUGCUCUCAUCCUUAGAUCUGUUGGCCCUUGUGCUCUCACCCAGGUGCCUACAGUUAGCAGCUUCUGCGGGGGUAGGCUGCCCCCUACAUCUGCCCUGUUGAUACGGGAUUCAGAUUCUGGAGCUUCAGCAAAGUUUUUAAAGUGGAGGUGAUGGAAGAGACCAGCCAGGGCCGUGUUCAGAUGGGGUUAGGAAGCCAAUGAGGUGUGAUGCAAAAGGAAGAUGUGUAUGCUAUCAGGAUGGCAGGGACCCUGUCGUUAAACAAGAACCUACAGAUGGAGGAGACACGAGCACCAUAAUCUCACCCAUCAA